CAAUGGGUGACGUCACUGCCGACGCAAAUAUUGACAAAGGCGGCUGCUUGUUAUUCUGGUUACCGAACAAACAUUCGACAAGUGAGAAAACGUCCUUUUUUCAUUCGGUUCGGUUUCGAAACUUCAAACUAUAUUUGGUGCUUAAACUAUCGGGACCGCUAAAAAUAUGCCAUGGAUCUAUCAUAUUUGGGAACGGAACUCCCGCUGUCUACAAGUGCUACCGCCAACAAAACUAUCACACCGGGACGAAAUGUCAGUUUACUAUUGUUAGCAUCCCUUUUUUCGCUAGGACAGUAUCAACGUGCGCGGAGCCACAAUUUCCAGGCUCGUGACAAACCUAGAUCGAGUACACCGAAAUCCAGUAAGUGUCAGGAUCCAGUCUGAUAAUUCCUAGGGCGAUGCAGCCAUCUCUGACCUGAGGAAAAGCUGUGGAACCUGUUGCAAAUGUGAUGGAUGCAAUUGUGGCUGAGAAAAAUCCUCCCAAGAUUGGUGGCGAUUUAUUUCAAGGAUUUCCGGGGAUUUUCUAUUACGCUUUUUGUGCAUGGUGCAUUCGCUAUUAGUUCCAAGUUGGCUUUCGUUGAUUAAUUCGAUAUAAAGACAAAACAUCGUUUUUCUGCUGCCGGAAAGCGUAUCGGAGCAUUUAUCGUGAAAAAUAAUGUGACCAAAGCUUAACGAUGGUAGUUGAUUACACAAACAGUUAUUGAAUAAAGUAAUGAAAUAGAAAUAACUUUUAA